rnacentral:rRNA from 1 species
UACGUAGGGUGCAAGCGUUGUCCGGAAUUAUUGGGCGUAAAGAGCUCGUAGGCGGUUUGUCGCGUCUGCUGUGAAAACCUAAGGCUCAACCUUGGGCUUGCAGUGGGUACGGGCAGACUAGAGUGCGGUAGGGGUGACUGGAAUUCCUGGUGUAGCGGUGGAAUGCGCAGAUAUCAGGAGGAACACCGGUGGCGAAGGCGGGUCUCUGGGCCGAUACUGACGCUGGAGGAGCGAAAGCGUGGGGAGCGAACAGG